AGCUCCUCAGUGUCUUAAGAUUCUUUUAAUAGCUCCGGGUUAUCUGCAAGAUAAAUUCAUACUUGUCUUUGUUUUAUUUGGAUCUUAACACAUUUUGGAAGUAUCUUUCUUGGAUUUUGGAAGAGUAGUUGUGAAACUCACAUUAGUUAAGAAUUCUGGAAGCUUCUGUUCCACAGUUGGAUUUGCUGUCUUCUUUCCUGGUGGUAUUAGUCCCACAGAAGCAGCAAGAAGCCUUUCUCUCUAUGAAGUAAUGACAGAUGACGACCAGCAAAGAAUGGUAAGGCAUACCAACAGCAUGCAGUGUCACUAGCAAAGACCAGUAUCAGCAAAGCAAAGACCAGCAAAGCAUGGCACUUCCAGAAAAACACCACCAGUCUGUCACCUAUCUGCUUCAUUAAAAACAUCCAUCCAUAAGACAGUUUCCAGAAAAAUAUCACAUGACCCGACUGAAUCCCUAAAGAAACC
ensembl:lncRNA